rnacentral:rRNA from 1 species
GGCGUGCUUAACACAUGCAAGUCGAACGGAAAGGCCCUGCUUUUGUGGGGUGCUCGAGUGGCGAACGGGUGAGUAACACGUGAGUAACCUGCCCUUGACUUUGGGAUAACUUCAGGAAACUGGGGCUAAUACCGGAUAGGAGCUCCUGCUGCAUGGUGGGGGUUGGAAAGUUUCGGCGGUUGGGGAUGGACUCGCGGCUUAUCAGCUUGUUGGUGGGGUAGUGGCUUACCAAGGCUUUGACGGGUAGCCGGCCUGAGAGGGUGACCGGCCACAUUGGGACUGAGAUACGGCCCAGACUCCUACGGGAGGCAGCAGUGGGGAAUAUUGCACAAUGGGCGGAAGCCUGAUGCAGCAACGCCGCGUGCGGGAUGACGGCCUUCGGGUUGUAAACCGCUUUCGCCUGUGACGAAGCGUGAGUGACGGUAAUGGGUAAAGAAGCACCGGCUAACUACGUGCCAGCAGCCGCGGUGAUACGUAGGGUGCGAGCGUUGUCCGGAUUUAUUGGGCGUAAAGGGCUCGUAGGUGGUUGAUCGCGUCGGAAGUGUAAUCUUGGGGCUUAACCCUGAGCGUGCUUUCGAUACGGGUUGACUUGAGGAAGGUAGGGGAGAAUGGAAUUCCUGGUGGAGCGGUGGAAUGCGCAGAUAUCAGGAGGAACACCAGUGGCGAAGGCGGUUCUCUGGGCCUUUCCUGACGCUGAGGAGCGAAAGCGUGGGGAGCGAACAGGCUUAGAUACCCUGGUAGUCCACGCUGUAAACGGUGGGUACUAGGUGUGGGGUCCAUUCCACGGGUUCCGUGCCGUAGCUAACGCUUUAAGUACCCCGCCUGGGGAGUACGGCCGCAAGGCUAAAACUCAAAGGAAUUGACGGGGCCCCGCACAAGCGGCGGAGCAUGCGGAUUAAUUCGAUGCAACGCGUAGAACCUUACCUGGGUUUGACAUGGAUCGGGAGUGCUCAGAGAUGGGUGUGCCUCUUUUGGGGUCGGUUCACAGGUGGUGCAUGGCUGUCGUCAGCUCGUGUCGUGAGAUGUUGGGUUAAGUCCCGCAACGAGCGCAACCCUUGUUCACUGUUGCCAGCACGUUAUGGUGGGGACUCAGUGGAGACCGCCGGGGUCAACUCGGAGGAAGGUGGGGAUGACGUCAAGUCAUCAUGCCCCUUAUGUCCAGGGCUUCACGCAUGCUACAAUGGCUGGUACAGAGAGUGGCGAGCCUGUGAGGGUGAGCGAAUCUCGGAAAGCCGGUCUCAGUUCGGAUUGGGGUCUGCAACUCGACCUCAUGAAGUCGGAGUCGCUAGUAAUCGCAGAUCAGCAACGCUGCGGUGAAUACGUUCCCGGGGCUUGUACACACCGCCCGUCAAGUCAUGAAAGUUGGUAACACCCGAAGCCGGUGGCCUAACCGUUGUGGGGGAGCCGUCGAAGGUGGGACUGGUGAUUAGGACUAAGUCG